CGCAUGCCUAAUACACUAAUACCCACAAGCCAUUUGCAUCAAUUACUUGAAUCAUCAAGCUUCGCCGAGAUUGAAGGCCUGGUCCCAGCAAGAUCCCAACAAAUCGCUGCAGAGACAAACAACUUAGUUUAACGACUUCGAUCUGAGGUUUCAUCGGAGAUGAAAAAUUCUCUAAUCGGAUUUGGCUCUUGUCCACGUCCAUCUCCCAAAGCUUCUCCAUCAAAAUCUCACACACUGUAAGUUCUGGUAUAACCUAAGAGGCGAGGAGUCAUGUGUCUUCUCCAUCAAAAUCUCACACACUGUAACCUCCGAUAUCGUUUACCAGUGGGGAUAAAGGUGAUGAGAGAGGAAUUAGGGUUAUGAGAGAAAUCAAAUUCGCGGCGAGACCUAUAGAAUCAUGGAGAUUACGAAAUUGAAGAUGAAGGAGAAGAGGCUACGAAAUUACGAAAGUGAAUCUGAAUUUCUAAAGAAAUAAAGAUGGAGAGAGAAUAAAGGUUCUGUUUUAGAAUAAAUGUUCUGUUUCAAAAACUCAAAAGAUGUUUGGUUUAUCAAUUUAGAAA